AGCGCUCCGGGCGCUGGACCGUACUUGGGACUCUAGAGGGCUGCGUCCGGACAGAGAAGCUGGGUGGCGAUCUGUGGGUCACUCCUGGAGGUGUCUCUACCCGGAGCUGGAGAAAUGGGCUCCAAGGCCAGCUUCUCGGACGAGCGCCAGCCUGAGAUGGAAGUUUGCUAGCGCUCUAGACACCGCGCUGACCCGGAGCCGAAUCUUUAUCUUGGCUGGAAAGGCUGAUUUCGACCGCCAAGCGCCAGUCCAACGUGGGCCAGAGAAACCGAGACCUCCUUCACUGUGCUAGGUUUCCCUCUGCUUUUCCAGUCCCGGGUUAUCCGCUUCCUUUCCAAUGGCAGCCAGAGCCACAGUGAAGCAUGGGAGGAGGCUGGGUUUUGAAUUAGCUAGAGUGUUUGGGUUCAUCCUCUUGUGAGAGGGCAAAGGUUUCUUCAUUUUAUUUAGCUAGGGCCAUCUUUGGUUUAAACUGAAACUGACCCUUCCCUCCCCUUUUCUACCCUUGCCGGUAAGAAAGCGCCCAACCGUGUUGUAGAUAUUUGUGGUCCAAAUGCCCCAGCUAACUUCGUGUUCUUGGCCUCUGUUAAACUGCGUGCUUGCUUCCCCUUGCAGCUGUCAACUGGGAUGUGGUUUUUCUGUACUGUCUCUUAAAAACUCCCUGUAAUAUACAUUCAAGAUUGCUCUGAUAAGUCCAGGCAAUCUCAGUGCUUGGGAGGCUUCUGACAGGUUCUCAGUGCCUAGACUACACAAGGGAGAGUUGGGAUCCUAAGGGUGCCUGAUGACCAGGGAGCUGAGGUAGGCCCAGGUUUGGGGGAUGUCUGCGGCAGAUUCCCAAAGAUUGUGCAAAAAGAGGCAUUUUUAACAACUCCGGAAGUAAGGUUUCUCCGUAGCUCACAAUACUGAGAACUUGUGGAAAAGCUGAAUACAGUGUCAAUUUCUGAAUCAGAGGGACCGCCUAGACAAUACUAGCCCUUGCUCAGGGUUCUGGGUGGCUACCAGGUCGUAGAACAUUGUCUUUUUUGUAUUGUGUAAAUUGUUUGUUGCAUCGUUUAUCAUUUUUGGGAAAAGUGAAACGAUGGGUCAGAAUUCUUCUACCUAAACAACCCCCCUGAACCUGAUGAAGUCUCAUUUUAAGGAUUUCCAGAGAAAAAUCCCAGGAGUCCAGAGAAUAGGCCUGUAUAGGAAAAAAAUAACUACUUUUUGUUCCCUUGAUUGCUUGUAAUUUCAGAUGGACUGGCAAGCCGAAGCAUCAUUAAACCUUCCGCUUAAGCACAAAGUGCAACAGGUGGUCUUUAGUUAACCAGGCACCUGGAGCCAGCUCCCCUACAUCCUGGCCUAGAGGGUUCUGGUAGAAGAGUCCAAAUCCUGAGUUAAAAAAAAAAAUGCUGACCCUUCCCCUAACACCAUUUUUGUUUCAGAGGAAGGACAAGUCUUGGGGUUAAGGGGUAGGGUCAAGUCUUGGCCUCUGGUCCUAGCAGCACCCCCUUAGAAGGAGCUGUACUGCCUGGGGCACCAGCCACGCAAAGAUGCACAUCACUGGAGGCACCUGACCACUGACUCAUCCUGACUCUGACCCCCAGUCCUCUCCUGACUCUCUUUUGGAGGCCUCAUUGUCACCUGCUCCUCUUUUAGGGAACACCAGGCCUCCCUCAAGCUGCCAGUUGCAGGGUGCCUUCCCUGCUUCCCACUUCAUGAUCCUCUUCAGGGCUUUCAUCUCUGGCUGUUCUCUCCUUGAGGGAAGCCCCCGUAUGGAUAGAAAAGCAGAAAAAUCUCCCAAUUUGUGAUGAUUUAUGUUCCAUUCUCCACUACUGAUUUGUAUACUUAAAGAUUCCAGAACCCUCUUUCUCAAACCCCAGAGUUUAAUCUCUCUUCUAGAAAUGGUGGUUUAUACACACCAACCAAUUUGGGCAGACUGUCAGCAGCUACUUGAGAGAAUCAGACAGGAAGCCCAGAAGCUGGUCUUAGGGGAAGACAGGAAGCCAGCCAGUGACCCUGCACUGGUUGAGAAAGCUUUUUUUCUGGGCAACCAGAUUGGAAGCCACUACAAGGGUCUUCCUGAUGCUCCUUGUGUCUUUGGAAAAAGAUGCUUGAAGAUUUCAAUCAGCCUCCUGGACAGAAUGGUGCUCCCAGCUAGCGCCUAGCUCUGGCCAGGUCAGCUCCAGGUGUUCCUAGGAGAAAGAAUACUGCUCCUGAGACCCACCAAAGACAAGCCCGCUGGACACCGUCCACCAGCAGGGGAAUUCCCUCUAGUGCCCAUAGCUCCUGCCCCAGGAGACACUGCUUCCUUCCAGGCAGAGAAUUUACCUAGGCCUCAAAGGAUGGCUGUCCCAGCUUCCUUAUUCACAUUCCUGCCUUGGCCUUUGAGACCUGCCAGCACAGGAGAUACCCCACCACCACCCAUUCCCUGCCUUUAUUGGAACAACCUGACCACAGGUUGCACUGCCUGUAUCAGAUGCUGGACUUCUCCUCCUUUCGAGAUGCCUUCUGGUCUGCAUUUGGGUUACUACAGGAGGCAAAAAGGACUACCUGGCCUAGCACAUUCUACCAACAGAAGCAAGAAAUAAAAAACAUUUGCCAAAACAAGAUAAAGAAGCAGGUCACAGUGACAUAAAGUCUCAACAAAUGCGGGUGAAAUGAGAGGAUCACUGUGUUCUUUAAAAUUCCAGAUUUGUGUGUAAGGCUGGAAACUUGUUUACUUCUGUGUUUUAUUGGAUGCAACCUAAAAGAAUU
ensembl:lncRNA